rnacentral:rRNA from 1 species
CUACGGGGCGCUGCAGUGGGGAAUUUUGCUCAAUGGGCGCAAGCCUGAAGCAGCAACGCCGCGUGGAGGAUGACGGUUUUCGGAUUGUAAACUCCUUUUAAUAGGGAAGAUAAUGACGGUACCUAUUGAAUAAGCACCGGCUAACUCCGUGCCAGCAGCCGCGGUAAUAGGGGGGUGCAAGGUUACUCGGAAUCACUGGGCGUAAAGGGAGCGUAGGCGUUUUAUUAAGUCUUUCGUGAAAGCCCACAGCUUAACUGUGGAACUGCGAGGGAAACUGGUAGAAUAGAAUAUGGAAGAGGUCGAUGGAAUUUCUGGUGUAGGGGUAAAAUCCGUAGAGAUCAGAAGGAAUACCAAUUGCGAAGGCGAUCGGCUGGGACAUCAUUGACGCUGAGGCUCGAAAGCGUGGGGAGCAAACAGGAUUAGAUACCCUUGUAGUC